CUCAACUGCGUUACCCACUCCAGUCAGCAGAUGGCGGUCUGACUUUAAGGCGAUGCUGCUAGUGUGACGUAUAAUCUAGUGGACGGAACGCUUCUUUCAACAGCAACAACAGUUCGUCAGACACCUCGGUAGCUUGCUAGACAAAAUAGCCGAACCAAUAAAGCUCUUUAGACGCUUUCGUGUAUAUUAGCCACUGUGUUUAAAACCCACCUCUGUCGUCUAGUUAGUUAUCCGAUUUAAUUUCAUAUUUACGGUGUUGUUAUUAGUCAGCUAGCGGGCUGGUUAAGUUAGCAUUAGCCUAGCUAGCUAACAUCCCCGACCAUGCGGUCACUUAGCUACUCUCCUGAAAAAAAAGAAGAGGAGGUCUGCUGGACGGAGAAAGAAGUUCUCGUGAAAGAGGAGGAGGAAGAGGAGGCUGUUACAUUACAAAAGCAAGUAGAGGGAGAGAGACGGGACUAUCGUGGAGCCUCAACAAAAUCAUGAUGCUAACAAGGCAGAAAACAGUCUCUCCAGAUCAAAACACCCCAAGAAACACCUGCAGAGGCCCACAAGGAAGAGAACUCACCCCUGCUCUGACUGUGGAAAGAGCUUUGUUUCUUCAGGAUGUUUAAAAUCACACCAGAGAGCACACACAGGAGAGAAACCUUAUACCUGUGAUCAAUGUGGGAAGAGAUAUGUUACAUCUAGCGUCUGACUAAACACCAGAGAACGCACACAGGAGAGAAACCGUAUAGCUGUAUUCAAUAUGGGAAGAGUUUUACUCAGUCAUUCAGCCUGAUAUUGCACCAGAGGACACACACAGGAGAGAAAUCUUAUAUCUGUGCGCAAUGCGGGAAGAGAUUCGCCUCAGCAGACAUUAAAGUUCACCAGAAAAUCCACACAGGAGAGACCUUUUUGCUGCUCUGACUGUGGAACGAGUUUUGUUCACUCAGGACAAUUAAAAUCAUACCAGAGAACACACACACAGUAGAGAAACCUUCUAGCUGUAAUCAAUGUGAGAAGAGUUUUACUCAGUCAGGCAACCUGGUAUCACACCAGAGAACACACACAGGAAAUAAACCUUUUAGCUGUGAGGAAUGUGGAAAGAGUUUUACUACAUCUAACCAUCUUAUUGUACACCAGAGAACACACACGAGAGAAAUCUCAUAACUGUGAUCAAUGUGACAAGACAUACUCUGAUCAAACAUCAGAAAAUACAUGGAGGAGUUGUUUCAUGAUAUAAAUGAAAUGAUGUCACAAUGUAGAAUGUUUUAACAUUGUAGAAGGAGUAUUUUAAAUGAUGUCACAAUGUAGAACUGUAAACGUUUGUCGCCUGUUCUAUUGAUUUCAGCAUGAUAUGGAUAUUAGCCUCGGGGAAAAUCCAGGCUCUGAAUUGGAAGAGUACUAUUUAUGUGAUUUAACAAAAAGUGACUUACAAAAAAUAGUUGUUACACUUGCCACAUUGGUGACCCACUUAAAUCAAAAUGCAACACUUCAAAAUGUAGCUAGCUGUUUUUUACAAAUUCCUUGUGGUUUUUGCUGUGUUGGUUUUAACAGGAUAUGCAACCUGAUUUCCCCCCAAAUCGAUAUCAGUGAUUUAUUGCUACUUGUGCAGUUUUUAAGGUGCUUGUUUAAAAAAAUACAAGUAAUAUGAUUUCUGUGGCAGAAGUUUGUGUGUAUAUUAAUUUUGUAUUAUUUCGUGCCUCACCAUUAAGUAAAUUAUUGUCAAUACAUAUUAACAAAGGGGUGUA